rnacentral:rRNA from 1 species
CUACGUGCCAGCAGCCGCGGUAAUACGUAGGUCCCGAGCGUUGUCCGGAUUUAUUGGGCGUAAAGCGAGCGCAGGCGGUUAGAUAAGUCUGAAGUUAAAGGCAGUGGCUCAACCAUUGUAGGCUUUGGAAACUGUUUAACUUGAGUGCAGAAGGGGAGAGUGGAAUUCCAUGUGUAGCGGUGAAAUGCGUAGAUAUAUGGAGGAACACCGGUGGCGAAAGCGGCUCUCUGGUCUGUAACUGACGCUGAGGCUCGAAAGCGUGGGGAGCGAACAGGAUUAGAUACCCUGGUAGUCCACGCCGUAAGCGAUGAGUGCUAGGUGUUAGGUCCUUUCCGGGACUUAGUGCCGCAGCUAACGCAUUAAGCACUCCGCCUGGGGAGUACGACCGCAAGGUUGAAACUCAAAGGAAUUGACGGGGGCCCGCACAAGCGGUGGAGCAUGUGGUUUAAUUCGAAGCAACGCGAAGAACCUUACCAGGUCUUGACAUCCCUCUGACCGCUCUAGAGAUAGAGCUUUC